rnacentral:rRNA from 1 species
AAAUUGAAGAGUUUGAUCAUGGCUCAGAUUGAACGCUGGCGGCAGGCCUAACACAUGCAAGUCGAACGGUAGCACAGAGAGCUUGCUCUCGGGUGACGAGUGGCGGACGGGUGAGUAAUGUCUGGGAAACUGCCUGAUGGAGGGGGAUAACUACUGGAAACGGUGGCUAAUACCGCAUAACGUCGCAAGACCAAAGAGGGGGACCUUCGGGCCUCUUGCCAUCAGAUGUGCCCAGAUGGGAUUAGCUAGUUGGUGAGGUAACGGCUCACCAAGGCGACGAUCCCUAGCUGGUCUGAGAGGAUGACCAGCCACACUGGAACUGAGACACGGUCCAGACUCCUACGGGAGGCAGCAGUGGGGAAUAUUGCACAAUGGGCGCAAGCCUGAUGCAGCCAUGCCGCGUGUAUGAAGAAGGCCUUCGGGUUGUAAAGUACUUUCAGCGGGGAGGAAGGUGUUGUGGUUAAUAA